UGCGCCCAAAGGCCUCUCCGAACAGCCAAAUCACCCGGCCUCUCGGCUGUGAGGGUUCCUGUCUCUUGGCCCCUCCAUUUUACGAGGAGCAGGCGGAGAGUCCCAUGCCUAGAGCCCCAGAAGGAGCGUGCCAGGGCCGUCUCUGCGGCUUUAAACCCGCCCAACUCUCGCUCCCGACCCGCAGCGGGGCUGGAGGUGAUGCCUCGGGGCGAGCGGACGGAGGCUCCAGGACAUCUGACUCGGGCCCCAGCGGCCUCGCGCUCCGCCUCAUCGCCGCCGCCCUCGCAGCCCUCCGGCCCCGGCCGCUCUCGCUCCCGCCCGGCCCCGUCCACCCUCGCUACGGACUCCCGCCCCUGACCGUUGCAGCAGGCUGCGGGCUGCGGGCAGAGCGGGCUGUUGCAAGGCACGCUGGGCCGCAGGUAAUGCUCCCGCACGAUCCGCAGCGUCCGGCCCUGGAACGUCCUCAGGAGCAGCACCUUCUCCCGCUUCUGCAGCAUGAUGGCGGCGCUCGGCCUGGCAGAGCUCAGGGCCCCAGGAGGCCGCCCCGAGCGCCGGGAAGCCGCGGGCGCCGCGCGACGCAGGCGAGGCCGCGGCUUCGGACCCGCCCCCUCGGCCUUCCGCGCUGGGGCCUGCCUGGUCCGCGUGGGGCUCCUGGCUCGGCCCAACCCGCAGCUGCUUGAGCUCUUCGGACUCCGAAACGGCCCGAACCGCCCCGGCCCGGGCCAACCCUACCCACCCCGCCUCAAUUUCCCCCCACCCCCCAAUUACCUGGGGGCAGGGAAGGGAGGAAACCAUCCACCCAAAAGACUUCACUGGAGAUAAGGAUAAUGUGGAGGCACACAAAUGAACCAUAGAUCCCAGCCUCGUUGCAGACAGGUGUGGCCAUGUGACUGAGUUCUAGCCAGCAGAAUGUAGUGGCACCAUUUCCAGGCCUGACCCAUAAAAUCCUCCCACAUGUGUGCUCCUCCUUCCUUUUCCGCUGGCUGGAUGCCAAUACCCAGGGGAUCUUGGAAGCCAGCCCUGAAGAUGGCAACAGCUCCAUUGGCUUGGGUUCCUGAAGGACUGUAUGGAGCAAAACCCUGCCUCCCUCACCCAGGAGCAUCUUCAGUGGACUCUUUCACAAGGCAGAAAUAAACUUCUAUUACAGCAGCUUGCAUUACCAUGCCUAAUACAUCCCCACUUUACAAAGAAGAUUAAGUAACUUGCCCAAGAGUUGCAUGGCUAUUUGCUUUUAAAACCCUCACUAGAUAUUAAACAUCCUGAUGAAGCUGUUCAAGGAUUUCUACAGUGGUUCUAAAUUGUACAGGAGGGAGGAGGCCAUCAGCAUUCUGCAGUGCUCUGGUUUGGUCUGGGCUACAGUGCCAUGGCAGUGCCACACUGGGCCUGAGCACUGCAAAGGAUACUUUGCAGUUUGCUUCUCUUCAAUCUAAGUGCAGAUGGACAGGCUGAUGCCCAGAUAGCAGGACGUGGUGACAGCUUUCAGCACUCUGUUGCUAAUGGAAAUCUCUGACUGAGGUCAGUUUUCCUGGUGCAUGACUCCAAUCUUCUUCUGGCUGAGCACCAAUGUGUUUACACUGCAGAGGAGUUUGUAGCAUUUGCUGACCUUCUUACAGAUAUGCUCCAGGAGUGCAGACAUCAGCAGCUUCUGGAUUCUAAUCAGGUUUCAACAAAAGAUUAGCCUAGGGAGGGUGGGGCAUCUUUGCAAAGGGCUAAGAGAACAGGGAGGUUAUACGUACAAAAGAAAUUCCCGAAUUUGAGCUUCAAGGGCUAGAAUGGAUCAGUGAAUCAUUGAAUGGCAAGCUUUGAUAUGUUCUCUGUAAUUAUUUAAAAUUACAAUAGUACAACAUGCUUGUUGCAACACAUUCAAACUACACUGAAGUAUGCCAUAUAAAAAUGUGUAAGUUCUGUUUCCAUCUAAAGUCUACUCUUCCCAAGUAAUUUACCAUUGUUUAUAGCCAGUAUGCAUCCUGGAAGUCUUUGAGUAUAACCUAAGGUUUGCAACUUUUUGAAGAACUUCUCAAUCUGUUCAGUAUCAGAUAAUUACAGCUAACAUUUCUCAAGCUGUCACUGGGUACUAAGCACUUUCCUAAGUAGUUUUCCUGUAUUUUCUUAUGUAGUCCUCAAAAUAAUGUUGACUCUGAUACGAUUGCCAAACACAUUUUACAGGUGAGGAAACUAAAGUAGAGAAAGAGUAAAGUACCAUAAUUGCCAAAGGCCACACACAUAGUCAAUGUAUGGCAAAGCCAAACUUUGAACCCAAGCAGUUCGGCUACAGAACCCAUGGGUAAUAACUUUGCUCUGCCACCUUCCAGCUAGUAAAUGGUGAGAGUUAUAGAAGAAGGUACAUUUUAUACAGUGAGCCAUGGAUGAACACAGUUAUAAGCUUUAGGGAUUUGAAAAUAAUGAUAUUCAAGUAUUGACCAUACCACUUGCCUAACUUCCCUGAGCCUUAGUGAUUCCAACCAUAAAAUAUGGCUAGCUGGACAGACUUUGCUGGGUAUCGGUAUUAAUGAGUCAAUGAUUGUAAAGGACCAUGUAAAUAUCUAAAAUUACCCAAUUUAUCUAAAGAAUCUGCUUGCUUUUAUUCAUGCUCUCAGUGGAAGAGUCACUGGAGGACAAACAGCCGCUGAGAUUACUCUGCUACUCAUAUUAAGGAUAAUUUAAUUUCUUGUAUGUUAAAGUCUGUUAAUCCUGAUUUUCACUUUUCCCAGCAGAUACAAUGGCUCCCUUUUGGCAUUCUAAACACCCUGUGAAUCCCAUAAUCCACUUUGCAAUGUUUACUUUAAACUGUUCUGCUUAACUCUUUCAAAUUUUUUAAAAAGAAAAUUACUUUGUGCUUACCAAUUAUAUAUCCCAGCAACACUUUACUGUACUUUUACCAUACUGAUAAUUUUGUCCUUCUACCAUUAAGGGGUGCUGUUUCAUUGAUUUUUUUUUUUUUUCUUUUUCCCCUGCACGCCUCCUCUAAAAUCCUCGGUGAAUAGCUAACUUCCUCUUUCAGUACUGCGGUUAAAAUGUAUCCAAUUACCUGAGACCAAAAAGCCCCAAACCCUUAGUAUUUUAACAAUACUUUUAUCAGUGCAGCUCAGAGGUCCAGAUGCUCCACAAUUAAUUAGAAACUAAACUUCAUUGGUGAAUACAGAAAAGAAAAAGAAAAUCCUUUAAAUCUUGAAGAGGACUACAAGAAAAUUCAGUUAUGUGAAUAGCUGUUUAUAAUUUAAAAAUAUAAACAUUCAAUUUGUCAUUUGAUUUUCUGUAUUGAUGUUAUUGGAUGAAAUUAAGCUUUCAUCCAUUUUGUAGGAUUAUUCUUAUCAGUGGAAUACCAGUCAGUAUGAUUAUUUCAUUGGAUGAAUGUAUUAUGUGGAGCUUUCCUGUUUAUUUUACUGUUUUGUUACUGCAUGUGUUUGAAUUUGGAAAAGUGAAUUCCGUCUUAUGUCUUGUAAUGAUAUAACUCACAGUUUGAUUCUCUUUCUCCAGGAAGAACCCAGUCCCAUUAGGGUUCGUCUGAUAAAUCCAGGCCCACUGAGGAUUAUCUCUCUGUCUUAAAGCACCAUGAUUUGGGACCUUAAUUACAUCUGCAAAAUCCCUUCACAGCAGCUUCUCGAUUAAUGUUUGUUUGACUGAAUAUCUGGGAGAAAGUAUGUGUUACACACUGGGGCACAGAAAUCUUGGAAUCAGAAUUCUGCCUACCACAGUGAUUUAUAAUAAGCAUUUGGGUUCAAUAAUUUAUAUUUAAAACUAUGGUGUUUGUUAAGUAUUUGAAAGCAGCAUAAAUAAUUUCUUAAAAAACAAAUGGGAGAACCUGGCCAGUAAUCCAGACUAUACAAAGGUGCUUUGGUUAGUUCAAACUGAGGGAGAGUAAAAUCCACAAAUACAUACUUGCCUUCUGCUCAUCUUAAGUAGUCUACUCUGUGCCCAGAAUCUGCUUGGGAACCACUGCAUACAGUACAGCCCCUUUUGCUAAUACAGGAUCAACCCGGAGACAGCAAUGGGUCUGGUGGGGGGGGGUGGUGAGGAUGUCUUGUGGGAAAGAGCACUCUCCUUUUUCAUUCCUCAGCUCUUACUUAAGAGCAGAGAUGUUGUAUCCUCCAGAUUAGGCUCCUCUUUUAAAAACCCACUGUGACAGGUAAUAGGAGGCUCCAGCAUUUUUUGAAGAUUUGAAUUUUAAAUUUAAAAUGUCAUCUUCAUUGUAGACCUUCAUCGCAUGGCUGGCUGCUGUGAUCCAACUCGGGGGAGUGGGAGGCAGCUGGUAUUUGCUGCCCGUCUUCCAUGUAGAAUUGUGAUGGGGUCAGAGCCCCCACAUAAUUAAGGAAACUUCUCUGAUUGCAGUGAUUUCAUGGGGGAAAAUACGAAGUUUUUCUUUUCAUUUAUUUUUGUAUUAAAUAUGACAUUUUAAGAGAUAUCAUUAAAAAAUAUUCUUCUGCCCAGGAGAGAAAAGGCUUAGAUCAUAGCUAUCUUUCAUUGAAGCUGUUAGGUUCUUGUUAAGUUUACCGUGUUAGCCUUCAAGGUCUUAUCUUUUCUGACUUGGAGAACUAAAGGGAUUUGAUCCCCUUCCAGUUCUAUAAACAAUGUCCUUUAAUCAGUUUGAGGCAUCACAGUUGAUCAGAGGAAAGUACUUUCUCCCUCCCAAAGCUAACAGCACCUGCCAAUCCCCCUAUCCAGAAGCAAGAGAGAAGGGGUGCUCUUUGAGUCCAAGAGAACUGUUAUUUCAGAUGUACAUAAACUAUAGAAACAUCCCCAAACCCGUUGCCUCAUUAAUAGAUGCCAAGCAGAGUGGCGUUUGCAGACUUAAAAACAAUGCUAUGGACCCACAUAUCCAUCCGACAUUUAUUUUUGUAUGGCUAGUGUGAUACUCGUGGUAUUGAAAGUAUUUUAUAUCUGUUGGCCUUAAGUUCAUCAUCUUAGUGAAAAUGUAGAAAGGAUAGAUGACUAAAUAGAAAGUAAGGGUGUCUUAUUAAUAAUAUUGUUGAUAUAUAUAGAGUGGACUAUAAUUAGCCAUACUUUUCAUUUUCAAGGUACUUAUCUUAAGCUUUCUUCAGUUUUAGAAGGAUAUGAAGAUUACACUCACUUCUGGUAGGCUGAGUUAAACUGCAGUAACAAAGAACACUCAAAUAUCAGAGGCUUAAAACAACAAAGGUUUAUUUCUAGCUUGUGCUGCAUGUCCCUGGGCUCUGUAUCAUCCUUACAAGAGACCCAGGCUGAUGGAGGCUCCAAUUCAGUGCUUCUGCAAUUGCUUGGCAGGGGAAAGAGAAUGAAGCAAGUUGUGCACUGGCUUUUAAAGCUUCUAGUUGGAAAUGACACGUCAGUUGUGCUCACAUAUCAACAUUGAAAACAAGUCACUUGGUCACACUCGAUUCCAAAAGGGCAGAAGGCAGAGAACCAGAAAUAUUUGGUGAACAGAACUAAUGACAACCACACACACACAUUAAUAUGUAAAUUGAAAACAGGGGGAAUAACUUCAAUUGUAGCCAAGUGAGGAGAGUCAACUUUGAUUUAUCAUUGUAAUAUGGUUACUUGGAUAAGUUUAGAAUCAAUGAAAACAACGAUGUAGUCUAUGUUCAUAGAAUUUCUGCAGUCAAUGAGAAGAAUAUGGCAGGCCUUUAUGUAAAAAUGAAAAUAUCACCCCUAAAUAUUGAUUUUAAAAAAGAAUAAGUAGCAGAAUACUAUGAUCCCAUUUAUUAAAAAAACAAACUGUA